rnacentral:rRNA from 1 species
UACGUAGGGGGCAAGCGUUGUCCGGAUUUAUUGGGCGUAAAGAGCGUGUAGGCGGUUUGGUAGGUCCGCUGUGAAAACUCGAGCUCAACCUCGAGACGCCGGUGGAAACCAUCAGACUAGAGUCCGGAAGAGGAGAGUGGAAUUCCUGGUGUAGCGGUGAAAUGCGCAGAUAUCAGGAAGAACACCCGUGGCUAAGGCGGCUCUCUAGUACGGUACUGACGCUGAGACGCGAAGCAGUGG